UUUUUAAAAACAUUUCUUAGGUUAAGCAUAAAGUGAUAUUUUUUUAUUCGAAAUUUUUUACUUUUAUAAAAAAAAUGAUUGUUAGAACAACAUGACAAUCGACUCGACACUCUUUGGAUAAAACACGAAAUUAAAAUUAUAUAUAUUAUUCAAUACGUAAACGAAGUAAUUCCACCGCUUUGCCGCUAUAAAUAGGAAAUGGAUAUUUCCAGUUUUCAAAAACACAAAAAUGAAAUACACAAGCAACAGACGGAAAAUUAACUAUUAAGAGCAGUAGUGGGAGCGCCGUAGGAUGGCCGGCGGAGUAUCGAAGAUGGAAGUCGAAAUCUAGACACAACUGAACUCGAAACGAGACUACAUAAUGGUAAACCAACUUUCUGGCCAUGGAAGUCACAUAACCACCAGACUCAAUAGCUAUCUAUCGAAUAAAUCUGAUUUACACUCAAUUUUGGUAUAAGUAAAUGAUAAUGAUUUAUGAAAAGCCGUUACUUAUACCUUCAGAAGCAUAGGCCGAUCGAGAUUAAAAGGAGAAUACUUCUCUCCACCCAAAUAGUGUUGAAAAGCGUAGAAGUUUGAUGGCGAAUUUAUGUUAGGACUUGUAUUUGACUACUGAAUGAAACACCGCUAUAUAUUUUGAUACUAUACGAACCCUAUAUAUUUUGAUACUAUAUGAACCCUAUAUAUUUUGAUACUAAAACCAGA